CAGUCGCCACGGUAAUACGGAGGGUGCAAGCGUUAAUCGGAAUUACUGGGCGUAAAGCGCACGCAGGCGGUCUGACAAGUCAGAUGUGAAAUCCCCGGGCUUAACCUGGGAACUGCAUUUGAAACUGUCAGGCUGGAGUCUUGUAGAGGGGGGUAGAAUUCCAGGUGUAGCGGUGAAAUGCGUAGAGAUCUGGAGGAAUACCGGUGGCGAAGGCGGCCCCCUGGACAAAGACUGACGCUCAGGUGCGAAAGCGUGGGGAGCAAACAGGAUUAGAUACCCGCGUAGUCCCUGUCUCUUAUAC
rnacentral:rRNA from 1 species